rnacentral:rRNA from 1 species
AUUGAACGCUGGCGGCAGGCCUAACACAUGCCAGUCGAGCGGAUGAAGGGAGCUUGCUCCUGGAUUCAGCGGCGGACGGGUGAGUAAUGCCUAGGAAUCUGCCUGGUAGUGGGGGAUAACGUCCGGAAACGGGCGCUAAUACCGCAUACGUCCUGAGGGAGAAGGUGGGGGAUCUUCGGACCUCACGCUAUCAGAUGAGCCUAGGUCGGAUUAGCUAGUUGGUGGGGUAAAGGCCUACCAAGGCGACGAUCCGUAACUGGUCUGAGAGGAUGAUCAGUCACACUGGAACUGAGACACGGUCCAGACUCCUACGGGAGGCAGCAGUGGGAAUAUUGGACAAUGGGCGAAAGCCUGAUCCAGCCAUGCCGCGUGUGUGAAGAAGGUCUUCGGAUUGUAAAGCACUUUAAGUUGGGAGGAAGGGCAGUAAGUUAAUACCUUGCUGUUUUGACGUUACCAACAGAAUAAGCACCGGCUAACUUCGUG